rnacentral:rRNA from 1 species
GACAGAGGUGCCAAGCGUUAGGCGGAAUCACUGGGCUUAAAGCGUGUGUAGGCGGACUUGUAAGUACCUUGUGAAAUCCCACGGCUCAACCGUGGAACGGCCUCGGAUACGGGCGGCCUCGAGGGGGGUAGGGGCAUCUGGAACUGUGAGUGGAGCGGUGAAAUGCGUUGAUAUUCACAGGGACUCCGGUGGCGAAGGCGAGGUGCUGGACCCCUUCUGACGCUGAGGCGCGAAAGCCAGGGGAGCGAACGGG